CAGUACCGUGAGGGAAAGGUGAAAAGCACCCCGGAAGGGGAGUGAAAUAGAACCUGAAACCGUGUGCUUACAAGUAGUCAGAGCCCGUUAAUGGGUGAUGACGUGCCUUUUGUAGAAUGAACCGGCGAGUUACGAUUUGAUGCAAGGUUAAGCAGUAAAUGUGGAGCCGUAGCGAAAGCGAGUCUGAAUAGGGCGUUUAGUAUUUGGUCGUAGACCCGAAACCAGGUGAUCUACCCUUGGUCAGGUUGAAGUUCAGGUAACACUGAAUGGAGGACCGAACCGACUUACGUUGAAAAGUGAGCGGAUGAACUGAGGGUAGCGGAGAAAUUCCAAUCGAACCUGGAGAUAGCUGGUUCUCUCCGAAAUAGCUUUAGGGCUAGCCUCAAGUGAUGAUUAUUGGAGGUAGAGCACUGUUUGGACGAGGGGCCCCUCUCGGGUUACCGAAUUCAGACAAACUCCGAAUGCCAAUUAAUUUAACUUGGGAGUCAGAACAUGGGUGAUAAGGUCCGUGUUCGAAAGGGAAACAGCCCAGACCACCAGCUAAGGUCCCAAAAUAUAUGUUAAGUGGAAAAGGAUGUGGCGUUGCCCAGACAACUAGGAUGUUGGCUUAGAAGCAGCCAUCAUUUAAAGAGUGCGUAAUAGCUCACUAGUCGAGUGACACUGCGCCGAAAAUGUACCGGGGCUAAACAUAUUACCGAAGCUGUGGAUUGUCCUUUGGACAAUGGUAGGAGAGCGUUCUAAGGGCGUUGAAGCAUGAUCGUAAGGACAUGUGGAGCGCUUAGAAGUGAGAAUGCCGGUGUGAGUAGCGAAAGACGGGUGAGAAUCCCGUCCACCGAUUGACUAAGGUUUCCAGAGGAAGGCUCGUCCGCUCUGGGUUAGUCGGGUCCUAAGCUGAGGCCGACAGGCGUAGGCGAUGGAUAACAGGUUGAUAUUCCUGUACCACCUAUAAUCGUUUUAAUCGA
rnacentral:rRNA from 1 species